ACCUGGCUGGCUCAGUCGAUGGAGCAUGGGACUCUUAGUCUCAAGGUUGUGAGUUCAAGCCCCACGUUGGGUG
rnacentral:tRNA from 1 species